rnacentral:lncRNA from 1 species
CUCUUUUCUUUGUAAAAUGUUUAAUCUUCUCUUUUCUUUGUAAAAUGUCUGUACCAAGUCAGGAAUAUGACAGUUGCUUCCAUUUGUUCUGUUGACUGAUAUAUUAUCUCAACUAAACAUUAAAAAUGUAAGACUUAGGUGUGCUGGUCCAGACAGUGUAACGGUUGUGGUCAAAUUUGUUUAAGGUUGUAAUUAAGUUGAUACCGUAUUCAGCCGUGUAUAGUACGCAUUUAUGUAUAGUCCGCUCCCCCUUUUCAUCCCCUUAAAAUCGAGAAAAAAAGUUUUGUAAAAAACAUUAUUUAAAAAAAAAAAAAGUCACUGUAAAAAUCCAUUGAAAUGGACCUAUUCUCCAUGUAUUUUCUAAAAAAAAUAAUUUUGUUUUAUUUAUUUCAUGAAAAAUGAUGAAAGGGUAGAGGUAAUUAAUAUUUAAUAAUUUUAUAAAAAGUAGUUAGUAAUCAAAACAUUAUUAAUAUUUUCGUUUGCAGUUGUAUGAGCAUUGGGACAUCUCAUUUCAAUGGAGAUAUUUUUUCCCCAGUCCCUCAGUCAUGGUCUAUUGACUUUGAAACUUUAGCUUAGUUGUCAAAAUUUGUUCUUAAUGCUAUUUUAAGAGAAAUCUCAUGAUAAGUCCAUG